rnacentral:miRNA from 1 species
UUCGUUCUUGGUGGUCAGUUGUUG